UUGAACGCUGGCGGCAUGCCUUACACAUGCAAGUCGAACGGCAGCACGGGAGCAAUCCUGGUGGCGAGUGGCGAACGGGUGAGUAAUACAUCGGAACGUGCCCAAUCGUGGGGGAUAACGCAGCGAAAGCUGUGCUAAUACCGCAUAAGAUCUACGGAUGAAAGCAGGGGAUCGCAAGACCUUGCGCGAAUGGAGCGGCCGAUGGCAGAUUAGGUAGUUGGUGAGGUAAAGGCUCACCAAGCCUUCGAUCUGUAGCUGGUCUGAGAGGACGACCAGCCACACUGGGACUGAGACACGGCCCAGACUCCUACGGGAGGCAGCAGUGGGGAAUUUUGGACAAUGGGCGAAAGCCUGAUCCAGCCAUGCCGCGUGCAGGAUGAAGGCCUUCGGGUUGUAAACUGCUUUUGUACGGAACGAAAAGUCUCUUUCUAAUAAAGAGGGAUCAUGACGGUACCGUAAGAAUAAGCACCGGCUAACUACGU
rnacentral:rRNA from 1 species